rnacentral:tRNA from 1 species
GGCAUGGUGGCUCAGUGGUUAGAGCGCCCGCCUCGUGAACGAGAGGUCAUGGGUUCGAACCCCGGCCGAGUCC